GGCCUAGUAGUGUAGUGGUAACACGCCCAUUUUCUUUAAAUGCCUGCAACAUAGCUUUAUAAAUGGGUGUCCCUUGUUCGACUCAAGGCUAGGCCA